GUGUGGAGAGAGGAGGUUCGCGGCACCGCUGGGGCUUCCUCGGGGUCCCCUUGUUGUCAAGGGGUAGCAUUUGACCUGGCAGCGGUUCACGCCAAGAUUGCAAUAAGAGGAAUGAGCUUUGCAUGAUCCUGGAGAGGAUGGAAGCGAGGAGUGAUCCAGUUCACGCUGUUGGUUCACACACAACCUGCCUUGAAAGAGAUCAGAACUCUUCAGCUGAACUGCACCUGAAAAGAAUUAUUUUACGGUCCAGAAAAAAUCUUCAGACCUGACUGCACAGGUGUCUAUUGAAUAGAUCAGAGGAACUGGUUGCCAGUGAGAAAACCUGUUGUUGGAAUCAAGUUUUCUGUGGCCUUCAACGUUGUGUUGAGCAAGCUAGGGCUUGCUGAGUGUGGGACUGCUGGGAGAGCUCAGAAAAGAGAAAGAACUGGAAGGGACUAAUGGCAGCUGGCAAGGGGCUGAGCUGGGGUCUGACCUAUGUGGAAAUCAGGUGGGUCUGACCCCUGAUGUCCUUUAGGGUCCUGACUCUCCAUCUCUCCCGCUCUCUCUUUUUCUUUCCCUCUCUUUCUAGCUUUCUAUCCCUCUCAUUCUCCUGCUCUUUUUAUCUCCCUCCCACUCUCCUCUCUCCCCCCUUACCUUUUCCUCAUUUUCUCUUUUGCUCCCUUUGCCCUUUUCUCUUCUCCUUCUCCUUUUCUUUCUCCUUAUCUCUUUUUCUCUUCUC